rnacentral:rRNA from 1 species
UACGGAGGAUCCAAGCGUUAUCCGGAUUUAUUGGGUUUAAAGGGUGCGUAGGCGGAAUAGUAAGUCAGUGGUGAAAACCUGCAGCUUAACUGCAGAACUGCCCAUUGAUACUGCUAAUCUUGAGUACAUUUGAUGUGGGCGGAAUGUGGUCAUGUAGCGGUGAAAUGCAUAGAUAUGGCACAGAACACAUUGCGGAAGGCAGCUCACAAAAACUG